GCCAGGCGUGGUGGUGCACGCCUGUAAUCCCAGUUGACUUGGGAGGCUGAGGCAGGAGGAUCACGAGUUCAAAGCCAGCCUCAG
rnacentral:sRNA from 1 species